rnacentral:rRNA from 1 species
AGAGUUUGAUCAUGGCUCAGGACGAACGCUGGCGGCGUGCUUAACACAUGCAAGUCGAGCGAGGCCCUCUUUCGGGGGGUGCCCUAGCGGCGAACGGGUGAGUAACACGUGGGCAACCUGCCCUCAGCUUCGGGAUAACUCCAAGAAAUUGGUGCUAAUACCGGAUGUGACCGCUGACCGCAUGGUCUGGUGGUGGAAAGAUUCAUCGGCUGGGGAUGGGCCCGCGGCCUAUCAGCUUGUUGGUGGGGUAAUGGCCUACCAAGGCGACGACGGGUAGCCGGCCUGAGAGGGUGACCGGCCACACUGGGACUGAGACACGGCCCAGACUCCUACGGGAGGCAGCAGUGGGGAAUAUUGCGCAAUGGGCGGAAGCCUGACGCAGCGACGCCGCGUGAGGGAUGACGGCCUUCGGGUUGUAAACCUCUUUCAGUAGGGACGAAGCGGAAGUGACGGUACCUACAGAAGAAGCACCGGCCAACUACGUGCCAGCAGCCGCGGUAAUACGUAGGGUGCGAGCGUUGUCCGGAAUUACUGGGCGUAAAGAGCUCGUAGGUGGUUUGUCGCGUUGUUCGUGAAAACCUAAGGCUUAACCUUGGGCGUGCGGGCGAUACGGGCAGACUGGAGUACUGCAGGGGAGACUGGAAUUCCUGGUGUAGCGGUGGAAUGCGCAGAUAUCAGGAGGAACACCGGUGGCGAAGGCGGGUCUCUGGGCAGUAACUGACGCUGAGAGCGAAAGCGUGGGGAGCGAACAGGAUUAGAUACCCUAGUAGUCC